rnacentral:ncRNA from 1 species
GCGUACACGGUGGAUGCCUGGGCAGUCAGAGGCGAUGAAGGACGUACUAACUUGCGAUAAGCGUAGAUGAGGCAGUAAGAGCCACUUGAGUCUACGAUUUCCGAAUGGGGAAACCCAACUGCAUAAGCAGUUAUCUCAAUGUGAAUUCAUAGCAUUGUGAGGCGAACCGGGGGAACUGAAACAUCUAAGUACCCCGAGGAAUAGAAGUCAACCGAGAUUCCGGCAGUAGCGGCGAGCGAAACCGGAUUAGCCCUUAAGCUAAUCUUGCGUUAGGUGAACAUGCUGGAAAGCAUGGCAAUAAAGGGUGAUAGCCCCGUAACCAACAGCGCAUUAUUAGUGAAAUCGAGUAGGACGGGACACGUGUUAUCCUGUCUGAAUAUGGGGGGCCAUCCUCCAAGGCUAAAUACUCCUGACUGACCGAUAGUGAACCAGUACCGUGAGGGAAAGGCGAAAAGUACCCCUGUGAGGGGAGUGAAAUAGAACCUGAAAUCGUGUACGU